UAAGUGAAUGCUUUGCCACAGUCU
rnacentral:miRNA from 7 species